UUUUUGUGUGUUAAUUUUGUUUGUGGUUUCAUUGCGGGUAAGAUAAAAAAUUCUAGCACCAUCUUUUUGUAUAAUUCGGGUGACUAUGUCAGAGACAACCGACUGACCGCGUGGCUAUGAAUGGAUGGCUGUUGAUUCUGCUUGGAACCACUGACUACUCACGAUCUCCCCCUCCUCCCCCCCCCCCCCUCUCUUUAGUGCAGACUAUUUUCAGAAGAAAAAGAAAAAAGAAAUAUUUUUUCCUAACUCACAAGGAGGAUUUUAGUACGAACCUAGCAAGGAAAGUUUUUUGGGUUCCGCAAAUCUAUAGCUAGGAUGCUAUAUAAACAAGUGUGCAAUUCAUAAUUGUUGAGACAAUCAUUCAUAUUAUUACAUUCAAUGCUUUUCAUGUAUUUGAGAGAAUUUUAAGAAUAUUGACCUCAUAUUCUCUCUUAAGGUAUUUCGAAUAUUCAUUAAUUGAGUUUAAUCCGUGGAUGUAUUCAAAGAUAAAAUUCGUGAUCAAGUCCAAAGAUAUUGGCGCUGGUAGCAAUUAGCGAGGAUUCGGCGAGAGGAUUUGAGACUAAGGAGUGUGGAUUCACUAGGGAUGUGAGAAAUCUUGUGUCGGCUUAAUUUUUUUAUGGUGCAUUUUUUUCGGACUUCGGUCCCAUAUUUUUUUUACUAUUUUGGAGUUUUUCAUAUAUAUCCUACCAUGUUUUAAAUUUACAUAUUUAUUUUGUGAUUGUUGACUUGGAUAAAAUCAUUUAAAACAAACUAACCCUCAAGAAUCAACUAUCUUUCAGUUUUGUAAAUUAUUUUUGAUUCAUAAGCUGAAACAAAAUAUGUGCUGAGCACUAUAACACAACUUUCAAAAAUCAAAUGUCAUAGCUUAUAAGCUUUUCAUUCUUCUUACUCGACAACUUCUUAAUUUCUAGGACAUAAACAUAUUUGGGAAGAAAAAGUGACAGCACUAGGUUACACAUUGUAGAGUUUGAUUUUUAUUAAGUCUCGUUUGGCUUAUGUUCUUUUAAAUCGUUAUUUUUUUUAAGAUUUUUUUGUCUUUCAUCAUAAAUUUCUUUUUUCAUUCUCUAAACAAAAAUAUUUAUGGUUCAUCUUCAAAGGGUAAAAAAAAAUAAAAUUUUAUCAUGUUUGGAAAAAUUCACUAAAGAGUGUAAUAUAUGUUAUAAAGCAAUUUCUUUCAUAACAUUUACAAAAAUUCAAAUAAAAAAACAUCGUCUAUUUUAAAUUCUUUAAGAUUUUAAACCAAUGUUAAUUGGAUCAGCCUGUAAAUCACAGUUAAAUUUUAAAGUUCAUUAACAAUUUGUUUAGAUUUUGCACUUGUUGACAGAAGCCAAAGUUGAGUGAAGCAGUUAGCUCAUCGGGGCUUGAGUCAAGACCUGGAACCUCUCUCCAUGAUGGACCAAUGGGGGCUGCUGGGGAAUACCAUCAUCCUAAAUUUUAUUUUUAAAAAAACUCUUAUUUUAUAGCAAGUAGUAUUAACUAAAAAUUUUAAAUUAUAAAGGUUUGCUAUCUCAAUAUUAAAAUUAAUAAUUAAUAUUAUAUGUACAUUACAAGCUCUAUGUUUCUUAGGUAUGCACAUUCGCCUUCCAAAGUUAAAAUUUUGCGGUUAUCUCUGUUCCAAUCUAUCAAUAAUAAUAAUAAUAAUAAUAAUAAUAGGACGAGAGAAAGAGAAAGAAAAAUAAAUUUAUUUAAUUGUAAUUAUUUUCUACUUAUAAACCAAUUAUUUUUUUCCAUUUUGUACAAUUAUUUCCGUGUGUACGAGGUUGGAUACAUGUUAUAACUCCUAGCUGUCAGAUGUUUUCAUUUGGAGCCAUAAACGACAGUGACAUUUCAAUAAAAAUAUGAAAUGCAUUGUCGGUCGAGUUUGUUGCUUGAAACUUUCCUAGAAAAUUAUCUAAAAAUAUAAAAGUUGUGGCUCGAAACUUUAGGAUCAGACUUCUUUGUAGUAUUUUAAUGCUUCAAUAAUCCAAACCGAUUAUAUUAUAAACCUAAUCAAAAACGUUAAACAGUAAAAAAUUAACGAUUUGAACUGGAUUGUGCGCUCUAAUCUAAAUAUUUUAGACCAUAUUUUGAUUUAAUUUAAUGAUCCAAUAUUUAGACUUCUCUUGAUCAUCUAUGUCCCUGAUAGUUUCUUCAGUUCUCGUGGUGUCGGCUUUUGAGGGCGGAAACAAGUCCUCGGCUCUUUCCUUCUCACUGUGACCCCAGGAGUGGGACAUGUGCCAUAAUAGGAAACUAGUUUGAUAAAAUUCUGAGGAUAACACAGAGAUACCAUGGUAUCAAAUUUGAAAAGUAUUAAUAAGGGAGUUUUUUCGUAAAUUAUACUUUGCACCUCUAAACGUUGCACUCAAUUUUAAUUUGCUCCCUUAACUUUAAAAUAAUACAGUCAAACAUUUAUACAUGCUGUGUGUGUGUGUGUGUGUGAGAGAGAGAGAGAGAGAGAGAGAGAGAGAGGAAGAAGAGAGGAGGAGGAGGAGAGGAUGCUAGGGGCAGGGAUUGCGUGGCGGUGUCCCUUAACCUUUGAAAUUUUUACCUUUAAAAUUUUAACUUUGUCCCUUAACCUUUUAACAUCUAAAUCUUUAUACCAUCUAUGAUAUCAUUUGUACUUUUUAUUAUAUUUUGAUAAAAUAUACAUAACUUUUAAUAUAGAUCGAUAGAUCGAUAGCAUAUUUCAAUCAUAUUUUCAGCCUUUCAAAUGAGGUCUUAGAGAUUUUGGGUUGGGGAUUAAUUAUCAUGACAGAGGUAUGCAUUACAACAAUGGGAUGGUACAUGAUAUUGCUUAGUGUCACAAUAAAUCUAAGUGACAAUAGACCUAUUUAAGUGUCUCAACAUACGAAUCAAAUCAAGUGAAAGCUAUUAAUCACUCUUACUUACUCUCAACUGAUCACAGCAAAUUUAAAUUUAGAGCUUGGACAAAACUUUAGUGGGUUUGUAAUCAAGUGGACCGUCCACAUGCUCUCCAGUCAUUUUCUUCAACUCCUCUUGAAACCUUUCCAUAGCGGCUUCUGGCAAACACAUUAGUACCACAGUCCCAUCUUCCCCUCUACUGUCUUUAAACCUUGUAUAGAAGCUAAUCACAGGGGACGCCCUAGCUGGGCCACCAUAGACCGGUUUUCCCCACCCAAAAUCUAUCGCGUCAAAGCCAACACGGGUAUUAUCAGACACAAUAAUGUUCCCUGUCCCCCGUAUAGAGAGGUCGUCCCUCAUCCACCAUAAGAUCCUGCCACUUGACCUAAAAUACAUCUCCAGUAUUCUGGCCCUUUCGCCUUCGUCACCUCCUCCACCGCGUAUUCCAACGGAGAAGUAGAAAUCUUCCACUUCGAAACUGAAAGCCGGAAUAGGCAAUGACAUUUCAUGUAUCCUCGAGGUCCCUGCGGUCGGGCUUUCCCGUCCGUUGGCUAUGCAAGAGAUGCGAACCGUCCUCAUUGGGUCUGCCCAAGUGGCACAAAGUGCUGCACUCCAUAACACGCGGUUAGGACGUCAAAUGUGGAGCUGUCACGGUGGGUGGUGGCGAAAUGGUUUUCGAAUGGCCUCUUAUCUCCUUGGGACCGAAAAAAAAGGGACUUAUUGGUCAUGCUGUUGCUGUUGUCAAUCCGUGGUGGUGUUUAUCACUUGCUCGUUUUCGUGAUGCUGGAAUGUGAUGGAGGAGGUGUGCCUCGCAUCUAAGAACCUCCCUUGCAACCGGUGGCACAAGAAAGGUCCUGCUGUCCCCUCGGGCAAACUCAUCAUUGUAGUUAUAAUUGGACCAACCCUGUCCAUCCCUCAUUGUGUGGUUUACACGCGUAUGGCAACGGCACCAUCCACCGCAUCUAAAACGGGUCACCUGCAUGAAAAUUAAAAACAACAUAUAUAGUUGAUGCAAACCUUACGUAUAAGAUUUACAAUAAUGCUACAGUCUAAGAAUAUCUCACACAAAAACGUUCAGAAACUAUUACCAUCCUAGUCAUACAAUGAUUGGAGUUGUGUAAAAUUUUUGUGAAGGAUAUGUUGGAAAAAGUUACAUUUGAGCUGAUUUGUACCUAAUUUUUGAGUGGGUUCUGGUUACCGAAAUUGUUGAACCACGUGUGAAACGUGUUCUUCUUUGAAUAACUAUAAUAUAUUCACUUGCUCAAAAUGAAUAAGAGGUGAACAAGAAAUUUCACCAAAGUGCUGCUAUUGAUUGACAAAUAUAGUAAAGAAUGAAAUUUUCACAUCGUUUGAUUGAAUUUUUUUUAAAGUGUUUAUAUAUGCGAAGUUAACACUUCUCAGUUGAAAUCUCAGUCAUUUAAUUAAUUCAAAUAGAUUCCAACUGUAAAUAGUGAAAAAUAAUUUUGAGAUUCAAAAUGAGUUGUGUUUUAUAUUAUAAAUUUUAUUUUUCAAAGCAACUCAAAUUCACAAUUCCUGAACUUUUUUAUAAUGGGAUAAUGUUUAACACGUCACAUUUUAAGUGAGAUUUUCUUACCGCAAACAUAAGAUGGCUGGGUCCCAUAAUAUAUAAUAGCUAAUUAAACAUAUCAAUUCUAACCAACAUUACUGAAUCAACAAAGGAGGGCAGCCAAGGAUGCCUUCAGAGCCAGGAACGUCAUGCAAAAGCUCGUCAAGUUGGUCCCCCGGAUCAAUUGUGUCACCAAUUAGUCUGGUUGAGCUCAAUAUCGUGCAUCGCCCUCGAUGAACAAAACCCCUUCGCGCGUACAAAUCCAACCAUAAGUUUUUCGUUAGGACCCUCAAUAAGCCCUUCGGGCGAUGGGUAGUAGACGCGUGGCUUCAGCGAGUGCUUCUCUGAUGACCUGACGGGGUCUUCUCCUUCCGUAAAGCUUUCUUUUGUUUAGAACAUGAUCAACCGGACCUGAACCGGAGACCUUCUUGAUUCAUCCUUGUCUGAUAGUUGCUUCAGUCUCGUGGUGUCGGCUUUAGAGGGCAAACAAGUGUCGGUUCUUUCCUCUCACCGUGAACACCAGGGAGGGUGGAAAUGAUGCCAUAGUUAAGGAAACUAUUUGAUAAAAUAUCUGAGUACAGCGAAGAGAGAGGAUGCCCAUGGUAUCAAAUUUUGGAAAGUAUUUAUAGGGGAGUUUUUUUUCAUAAAUUAUACUUUGCACCUCUGAACUUUGCACUCAAUUUUACUUUGCUCCCUUAACUUUAAACUAGCACAGUCAAACCUUUAUACUUUCGUAUUGUGAGGUGCAAGUGAGCUACUUUACGGGCUAUGUUCUUCACAUUCUCUUUACACCCGUUUAAAAAAUUUAAUAUCUUUAAUUUAUUUGUCUACGCCUUUUUAAUCCAUUAAAUUAACACAUCUUUAACCGAAUCCCCUUUUCUCAACACCCACUAUCAAUCUUCUCUCCCCUACUUGACACCAGCUUCGUAUUUGUAUCUCCUCACUAUCAUCUCUCUUCUCCCUUUCUCCAUCACUCUUUUCCCAAAGUGUAUGGAAAUGCUUCGGGAUAAUUUGUUGACAAUUAAUAUAUACCAAACCUAAUAAGAAAAUUAAACCAAACUAAAAUAUCAGUUGGCUAUUUGAAAAACUUAAACCAAAUAGGCCAAAAACAAGUAAGUAUAAUCAAAUGGAUUUUUAUAUUUUCCCUCAUUAAUUGGUCAUGGGAGUCUCGAACGGCUUAUUUCCGUUGAUUAUUAAAAGGUAAUAUAUCGGAUGGAAUGGCCAUAACGACAAUUGAAUUCAAAUUUAAUGACUUGAUAGUCUCUUUUGAAAAUGAAGAUUGUAAGGUGAGAUUCGAUAUAAAAUACAGGAAUGCAAAGUGUAAUUUACCCUUAAUUUUGCAAUAGCUUCAACCACAUGCACUUGUGAGACAAACGUGCAACUGCCUGCAAACAUGGGAUUCACGUUGCACUAACGAAAAUAAAUUAUGAAAACAGCACUUGAAGUGGCAGCUACGUCCACGUGUAUGGUUGUGACCUGAAUUUCUUUUUCAUGUGUUUACAUAUGAAUUUAUAUUUAAGCCACGUUUGGUGUAUGAUUUUAUUGAGAUUUUUUAUUUGUUUUGGUUUUCGUGCAUCUUUAGAUAACGGUUUUUACUGUUAGAAUUAAAUUUUAUACUUUUUUAAUUUCUCUUGAUAAAAAGAAUUUAAAAAUAUAUAAAAAAAAUAGUUCGCUACUUAAUGUUAAAAUUAAUAUUAUAAUUUUAUACGUACAAUACGAGCUUUAUAUUUUUAAUGCAUGGACAUUUGUCUCCUAAAAUUAAAAUUGUGUGUCCGUCUUUGUUCCCAUCUAUCAAUAAUAAUAAUAGGAUGAGGGAAAGAAAAAUAAAAUUACUUCAUCAGUGACCCUUCAACAAAAAUGUGAAAUGGAUGGUGGGUCAAGUUGGUGUCUUGUCCGAUGUUUUCAUUUGGAGCCAUAAACAACAGUGCCACUUCAAUCGGUCAAUAAAAAUGUGAAAUGCAUGGUCGGUAAAGUUUGUGGCUCAAAACUUUCCUAGCAGAGUAUCUAAAAAUCAUAGUUAUCAAAAUUGAAUCGUAUUUUGAACCGAUCAAAGUACCGGUUCAACGGUUCACCAACCCAAAUCAACUGUCCUGGACAAUUCUGUCCCAUUUCCUGUACCAGAUCUCCAUACGUAACACAUGUCCUACUUUUUUCUAAGUUACUCUUCUUUUUUACUUUGGUCCAUUAAAGUUUAAAUUUUUUUAAAUUUGAUCCUUGAACAAUUAAAUUAUUUUCAAAUUCCAUCGAAACUACUUUAUAAAUAAAUUAUUUCGUAAAUACUCUUUUUAUAAGAUAAUACUAAGAUAUAAAUUAUUCAAAAUAAUCUAAUUUUAAAUUACUUUUAAUUUUAGUAUCAUAAAAAAAUAUAUAUUGUCACUUUUUUAAUUUCUCUAUUAGAGACAAACUAUUUAGUCCAAUUUUACUCUAAUAAGCCUUAUAAUGUAGCUAGUAGAAUUUUUUUCUUUAUGAAGUUUUUAUUUUUUUAUUAACAUACAUAAUUUUUGUUCAACUUCAACCUUUUAAUUAGAAAAAUCCAUAAAUAAAAAUGGUUCUAUUUAUAACCAAAACUAAACAAAUUAUGAAUUUUAUUUUGCAUUAUUCUUUAUUUAUGGGUCUUUUUUUAACUUACUUGGAUUUCUUUGCUCAAGAAAAAUAAAUAUAUUCUAAAUUUUGAUUUAUAGUUUUUAAAAACAUUUUAAAAUUUUGUAUUGAAACCCCUAAAGUGCCCUUUCAAGAUCCAUGCUUCGGGAAAGGCACACCUAGUUUUUGACCUCCUUUAUUUUUAAAAUUAUGAUCAAGAUUUUUUCAUUGAGCUAAAUUUUUGGCAAAAAUAACAAGAUUGCCCUUAAAUUUUGGACUUCUAAUUUUUUUUCUCAAUAUAUCAAUUAAAAUGAAUAAAAAUCAUCUUUUAUCUCAAAUACCAUUUGUUUGUAAACUCUCUUAUUUAUAUUUUUUUAUCAAUAAUAAAAAAUUAAAAAAAUAACUGAUUUUGUAAGAUAGUUGAAUAAAUAAGAUUAUUUCAAGAAAAAAAGUGAGUGUCCAUUAAUUUUAAUUGGUGUGUUGAGAAAAAAAUAUAAAAUUCCUACAAAUAAGGUUAAUUAUGUCAUUUUUAUCAAAAAGAUAGCCACAUUAAUUAAUAAUAAGUAAACUUAAUGAGAUUGGUUUUUAGUCAGUCUAAGAUUUUUUUUGUGUUUUUAAAGAUUGAAAAAUAAAACUAAAAUCAAAGAAUCCGAAAUUAGGUUAAAUUCUCCCCCAAUCCAACGGCAUACAACACAGGCAAGAAGACGAUGCAACCUAAUAUGGUAGCCCCAGAUCCACAGAAGUGGACCUCAAAAAGAAUAUUCAAAAUAGAACCCAUAUAUUUUAUUCAUUUUUUGUUUUAUAACAGGACCAUUUUUAUUUAUGAAUUUCCUAAUUAAAAGUUGGAAUGAAAAAAAUUAUAUAUAUUAAUAAAAAAUUAAAACAAUUCAUAAAAAACAAAAAUUCUACUAGCUACAUUGUAAGGCUUAUUUGGAGUAAAUUGGACUAAAUAGUUUGUCUUUAAUAGACGAAUUAAAAAAAGUGAUAAUAUAUAUAUUUUUUUAUGUAUCCUAAAAUUAAAAUUAAUUUAAAAUUAAAUUAUUUUAGAAUAAUUUAUAUCUUAGUAUUAUCUUAUAAAAAGAGUAUUUAAUAAAUAAUUUAUUUAAGAAGUAGUUUCAAUGGAAUUUGAAAAUAAUUUAAUUGUUCAAGGACCAAAUUCAAAAAAAAAUCAAAUUUUAAUUGACCAAAGUGAAAAAGGAGAGCAACUUAGGAAAAAGUAGGACAUGUGUCACGCAUGGAGAUCUGAUACAUGAUAUGGGACAGGAUUGUCCGGAUAGCUAUUUGGGCUGACGGUUCACUUGGUUUUACACCGGUUCAACAAUUCAACCGUUGUAUAAUUAAUAAUCAUAAAAAUAUUUUUUUAUUAUAAAUAAUAAAAAAAAAAUUUAACACAUUCAACCUACUGUAAAUAUUUUAAAGGUGAUUAUAGAUACCAUAUUUAAAAAGUACUCAAAAUAUGACAUGAAAUAUUACUAAUUGCACCUCAUUAUUAUAAUUCAAAAUAUUAUCAUGAAAUAUUAUAAUUGCAAACCAUUAUAUAUUUUAAUAUUCUUUAUAAAAAAUUGGCCAAAUGAGUUUAAAUUAUAUAUCUACUAUCGUAAUAAUAAUAGUAAAAAAUUAAUUAUAGUAAAAAAAAUUAAAAAAUGCAAAAUUCAAAAUUUUGGUGGGCCCAAAUUAUAAAAAUUAAAACUUUAAUUUAUUUUUAUAAACCGGCCGGGCCGGUUCACACCGGUUAAAAAAUCUGCCGUUUCAACCGGUUCAAUUCUCAGUCUCUUGUAUUUUCGGUAAAUAUAUUUACUGAACCAGGUUAGUACUCGUUUUCCCCCCGGUUGAACCGUACAAUUCGAUCGUUUCUAACAACUAAUGGGCUAAAAAUUAACGUUUGUGGCUUUAGCAUCACUGGUAGUAAUCUUCUAAUCAGGCAAAGUUUGCAAAAUUUCACAUACAAGAAGAACCCUCCAAUAGUAUGUUUCCUACCGACUUAUAUAAAAUAUUAAAUAUAGGAUCAAAAUCUUCUUGGUAGUCCAAGCACUUUGGUCCAAUAAUCCAAACCGAUCGAUCUAUUAUAGACUUUAUCAAAAAUGUUAAUACAGUAAAAAAUCAACUUGAUUGGAUACAGAUCAACAGUCAAUCAAGGUAGAUAGGUAUAAUCAUUUAUAUCAUACUUAUUUAUUAAAUUAUAAAACGGUACUAAUCAGAUACUGAACUAUGUUCAAUCAACGUUUUUUUUACAGUGUCGAUCUUUACAUAGAGUAUAUAUAAUAUGGAUCAUCAAAAUGAACUCAAAAUAUGACUCAAAAUACUUAGACUAUACCUGUAUAUUGCGUUGUAUAUGCCUUUAAGCAACCAAAAAUAUAUGAAAGAUAAUUUCGUCAAUGGAUGAAAAAUAAUUGACAAUAUUUAUCAUUAGAAAUGGAGAAAACAACAAUUUAGAAGGCAAUAUCAAAGCAAUCAAUCUCAAGAUUAUGUCAGGUCCGACCCAUGUUUAUUGGGUGGCCGAAGCAAAAAAACGUUGGAACAUAGGGUCCCACUUGAGGGUUAAGUUGGAUAUAUCAGUUUUGUGAAAGCAACAAACACAGACUUAUGAGAGCGUUGACUACUGCCCACCGUCAGAGUCCGAUAUACUAGUUUCGUGGAGGAUGAGUGCGCAUUAUUAAAAAUGCCUGAGCUUUGGGGUGAUUCUUGGAGUCAAGUGGUCACUCAUUCAAGCAUUAAGCAUAAAAAUUGGUGGGUGCUGCAGACAAAAUUAUUCAAUUAUGUAACGUUAAGUUGGAGAUUCACACGUUGAUAAUGGAACGUACUUACAUUUUAGGCACUAAGUACGUUUCGUGCAUGACUAGAAGGCACACUUACCAACUUUUGUAUUUAAUGCUUGAAUGACUGACCACUUAAAAAUAUUUGAACUUGAGACUUAGGUGUUGAAACCUUACGUCUUUGCCAUCAAACCAACUCACUUGGUUAUUGCACAUUAUUUGUUCUUGGCACAUGGUUUUCGAUAUUCAUCUAAUAGAU
rnacentral:lncRNA from 1 species